rnacentral:rRNA from 1 species
AGGCCAAUCAAACCCGGAGAUAUCUCGUUCUCCCCGAAAUAGCUUUAGGGCUAGCGUCGCGCGUUCACCGCCGGAGGUAGAGCACCGGAUGGACGAGGGGGCUUCGCCGCCUACCGAAUCCAACCGAACUCCGAAUGCCGGCGGCCCAGAGCGCGGCAGUCAGAGCAUGUGGGCUAAGCUGUGUGCUCGAGAGGGAAACAGCCCGGACCGCCCGCUAAGGUCCCCAAGUUCCAGCCGAGUGGCAAAGGAUGUGCGUCCGCCCAGACAACCAGGAUGUUGGCUUAGAAGCAGCCAUCCAUUCAAAGAGUGCGUAACAGCUCACUGGUCGAGUGGACAUGCGCCGACAAUACACGGGGCUAAGCUGGACACCGAAGCGGCGGGAUUUUAAUUCAUUAGAAUCGGUAGGGGAGCUUCCCAUGGGCGGAGAAGCCGGAGGGCGACCGACGGUGGAGCGCAUGGGAGUGAGAAUGCUGGCAUGAGUAGCGAGAGACGAGAGAGUAACUCGUCCGCCGUGAACCCGAGGUUUCCUGGGCAAGGCUAAUCCUCCCAGGGUCAGUCGGGGGCUAAGGCGAGGCCGGGAGGCGUAGCCGACGCGCAGCAGGCAGACAUUCCUGCACCGCGCACGCGGCGCUACGACCGACGGGGCGACGGAUGGGGGUGGCUCGGCGGGGUUCUGGACGUCCCCGUGAUGGAGCGCGGCCCGCGGACCAGGGAAAUCCGGUCCGCAGAAGGGCGAGGCUCCGGACGAAGCACUUAAGCGAAGCGAGUGAGCCCGAGGUCCCUAGAAAAACCCCUAGGCAGGCGCGUGCGCGCCCGUACCGCAAACCGACACAGGUGGGUGGGUAGAACAUACCGAGGCGAUCGGGUCAACCAUGGUCAAGGAACUCGGCACAAUGGCCCCGUAACUUCGGGAGAAGGGGUGCCCGCGCGUACGUGAACCGGCUUGCCCGGGGAGCGGAGGCGGGCCGCAGUGGAGAGGCCCAAGCGACUGUUUACCAAAAACACAGGACUCUGCAGAAGCCGCAAGGCGACGUAUAGGGUCUGACGCCUGCCCGGUGCCGGAAGGUCACGCGGAGGAGUUAGCGCAUCGCGCGAAGCCCCGAAGCCAAGCCCCGGUAAACGGCGGCCGUAACUAUAACGGUCCUAAGGUAGCGAAAUUCCUUGUCGGGUAAGUUCCGACCUGCACGAAAGGCGCAACGACUUGGGCGCUGUCUCGACCAUGGACCCGGUGAAAUUGCACUGGUCGUGAAGAUGCGACUUACCCGCGGAAGGACGGAAAGACCCCGUGAACCUUCACUGCAGCUUGGCAUUGGCCGCUGGUCCCGCGUGUAGAGGAUAGGCAGGAGGCACAGAUCCGGAGGCGCCAGCCCCCGGGGAGCCGCCCUUGGAAUACUGCCCUCGCGCGACCGGCGUCCUAACCCGAGGCCGUCAACCGGCUCGGGGACCGUGCCAGGCGGGCAGUUUGACUGGGGCGGUCGCCUCCUAAAGGGUAACGGAGGCGCGCGAAGGUCCGCUCGGGACGGUCGGCAACCGUCCUUUUGAAUGCAAGAGUACAAGCGGGCUUGACUGCGAGGCCCACAAGCCGAGCAGGUGCGAAAGCAGGCUCUAGUGAUCCGGCGGCCCCGAGUGGGUGGGCCGUCGCUCAACGGAUAAAAGGUACUCCGGGGAUAACAGGCUGAUCUUGCCCAAGAGUCCACAUCGACGGCAAGGUUUGGCACCUCGAUGUCGGCUCAUCGCAUCCUGGGGCUGGAGCAGGUCCCAAGGGUACGGCUGUUCGCCGUUUAAAGCGGUACGCGAGCUGGGUUCAGAACGUCGUGAGACAGUUCGGUCCCUAUCCUCCGUGGGCGCAGGAGAAUCGAUGGAGGCUGCCCCCAGUACGAGAGGACCGGGGUGGACGCACCUCCGGUGAACCGGUUGUCGACCAACGGCACGGCCGGGUAGCCGCGUGCGGCGCGGAUAACCGCUGAAGGCAUCUAAGCGGGAAGCCGUUCCAGGGAUUAGUUCUCCUUCCGGUAAGGGCCCAGGUAGACUACCUGGUCGAUAGACGGCAGGUGCAAGGGCGGCGACGUCCUCAGCCGAGCCGCACUAAUCGCCCGAGCUCUUCCGGAA